UACGUAGGGUGCGAGCGUUAAUCGGAAUUACUGGGCGUAAAGCGUGCGCAGGCGGUCUGUUAAGACCGAUGUGAAAUCCCCGGGCUUAACCUGGGAACUGCAUUGGUGACUGGCAGGCUUUGAGUGUGGCAGAGGGAGGUAGAAUUCCACGUGUAGCAGUGAAAUGCGUAGAGAUGUGGAGGAAUACCGAUGGCGAAGGCGGGUCUCUGGGCCGAUACUGACGCUGAGGCGCGAAAGCUAGGGGAGCAAACAGG
rnacentral:rRNA from 1 species